rnacentral:rRNA from 1 species
UACGAAGGGGGCUAGCGUUGCUCGGAAUUACUGGGCGUAAAGGGCGCGUAGGCGGACAGUUUAGUCAGAGGUGAAAGCCCAGGGCUCAACCUUGGAAUUGCCUUUGAUACUGGCUGUCUUGAGUACGGGAGAGGUGAGUGGAACUCCGAGUGUAGAGGUGAAAUUCGUAGAUAUUCGGAAGAACACCAGUGGCGAAGGCGACUCACUGGCCCGUUACUGACGCUGAGGCGCGAAAGCGUGGGGAUCAAACAGG